rnacentral:rRNA from 1 species
GAUGAACGCUAGCUACAGGCUUAACACAUGCAAGUCGAGGGGCAGCGGUAUCGAAAGCUUGCUUUCGGUAGCCGGCGACCGGCGCACGGGUGAGUAACGCGUAUCGAACCUGCCUCAUACUCGGGAAUAGCCUUGCGAAAGUAAGAUUAAUGCCCGGUGUUUUCAGAGUCCCGCAUGAGGCUUUGAACAAAGAUUUAUCGGUAUGAGAUGGCGAUGCGUCCCAUUAGCUUGUUGGCGGGGUAACGGCCCACCAAGGCAUCGAUGGGUAGGGGUUCUGAGAGGAAGGUCCCCCACAUUGGAACUGAGACACGGUCCAAACUCCAACGGGAGGCAGCAGUGAGGAAGAUUGGUCAAUGGGCGGAAGCCUGAACCAGCCAAGUAGCGUGCAGGAAGACGGCCCUCCGGGUUGUAAACUGCUUUUAGUUGGGAAUAAAACGGGGCUCGUGAGCCCCCUUGCAUGUACCAUCAGAAAAAGGACCGGCUAAUUCCGU